CAGCAGCCGCGGUAAUACGAGGGGGGCAAGCGUUGUUCGGAUUUAUUGGGCGUAAAGGGUGCGUAGGCGGUUUGGCAAGUCUUGUGUGAAAUCUUCGGGCUCAACCCGAAGCCUGCACGAGAAACUACCGGGCUUGAGUAUUGGAGAGGUGAGUGGAAUUUCCGGUGUAACGGUGAAAUGCGUAGGUAUCGGAAGGAACACCUGUGGCGAAAGCGGCUCACUGGACAAUAACUGACGCUGAUGCACGAAAGCUAGGGGAGCAAACAGGAUUAGAUACCCCUGUAGUCCCUGUCUCUUAUAC
rnacentral:rRNA from 1 species